UACGUAGGGGGGCAAGCGUUGUCCGGAAUCAUUGGGCGUAAAGCGCGUGUAGGCGGUUCUGUAAGUCUGCUGUGAAAGUCCAGGGCUCAACCCUGGGAUGCCGGUGGAUACUGCAGGGCUAGAGUACGGAAGAGGCGAGUGGAAUUCCCGGUGUAGCGGUGAAAUGCGCAGAUAUCGGGAGGAACACCUAUUGCGAAGGCAGCUCGCUGGGGACGUUACUGACGCUGAGGUGCGAAAGCGUGGGGGAGCAAACAGG
rnacentral:rRNA from 1 species